ensembl:lncRNA
CUUGCGGCGGUGGGCUCUUGGGUUUCAACACGCUCAAAGCAGAGCCAGCAGCGUACAUCUCAGCGUACCGCUGUAUGAAGUGGGAUACAUCAAACGCGUCCUUCGGAGAGGUCCUAAUACAUCAAAAAUCUAUCUUUGGAAGCAUGCUCCCCUGCUCAAACAUUUAAAACACCAGGAUUUCAUCACGGGGCAGACUGAGUGCAAGAAUUCUUCCUGGGUGUUGAAGUUCUGCAACCACCACCACACUGUAGAUAGAAGCUUUACAUAAAAUCAGUAGUCAACAGCUGCGUGAGGGAAUCCCGCUAACAGAAGCUGUGUCAAUGCCAGGGGCAGUUCCAAUUCUAUGCACCAUCAGGACCGGACAGCAACGGGCGGACGGAGAUGGUGGAUGAGAGCUGCCAGGUGCAUGCAACUUCUUGCCCAAGAUUUCCAAGACCUGAUGGUGUGGAGAGCUUUAAAAGAAGGAUCUGAAGGAAAGCAGUGAUGCAACUUCGUGGGUGCCUCUUGCUGUGAUUUAGUGCUGUCUGUGCUCAGGCACCAGCUCAGCCUGCAGCCAGGCAUCACUUCUAUCACUAAAGUAGUGCUGCACACUGUGUGGAUAUCCCACAGACUAGUCAAAAGAGGACAAAGCAUCUCUCCUCUCACUUGGAGUACAGCAUGCACCAGUAACUUGCAUGAGAAUUGUAUUACCCAGAACCUGCAUGAUGACUUCACACACCACAAAAUAUGGGCAGUCACAGGAGUGCAACUGCAGGGGCCCUCCUUGGCUUUCUUCAGAUCACAGUUUGCCAGCUCCCAUCCCAGAAAUGUGAGUCCUGAGAAUGACUGCAGAAACUUUUACUUGUCUGAGCUCCAGGAGUAUUUAUGUAAUUUAAUCGAUGAACUGCACUGAUUUAUUUGCACUAAGUAACUCCUUGGGAUCUGGAUAAUAGAUAAGGGUGUGCACAGUGCUGUACAAACACAUCAUAAAUAAAUGCAGCUUGCAAAUCAAUUGUCAGAUAUUGAUGAUUAAUCUCCUUAUAGUAAAAUAAUGUUACAUCUGUCCAUUAUGGCUUUUUUUUCUUUUCUUUUUUUAAUUUUAAAAUUGACCUAAGAGGUUUCAGAGUUAUUUAUUUCAGGAAAGCU